rnacentral:rRNA from 1 species
UACGUAGGUGGCAAGCGUUGUCCGGAUUUACUGGGCGUAAAGAGCGCGCAGGCGGUCGAUCAAGUCGCGUGUGAAAGCCCCCGGCUCAACUGGGGAGGGUCACGCGAUACUGAUCGACUCGAAGGCAGGAGAGGGUAGUGGAAUUCCCGGUGUAGUGGUGAAAUGCGCAGAUAUCGGGAAGAACACCCGUGGCGAAGGCGGCU